AUGGAGCGUAUGACAGCCUCAUAUUACAAGGAGGUCUUCGUUAAAGACCCUACCUUGUCGCCGGACAUGGUGUUAGAUUGCAUCGAGCCUAGAGUGACAGACGCGAUGAAUAAUAUUUUAUGUGCUAAAUUUUCUGAACAGGAAGUGUCUGAUGCAUUGUUCCAGAUUGGGCCUCUUAAGGCUCCCGGUCCAGAUGGUUUUCCUGGAAGAUUCUACCAGAGGAACUGGACUUGUCUCAAGUCAGAGAUUAUUGCGGCGGUUUUAUCUUUCUUUGAUUCAGGUGUUAUGCUGGCUGGGGUUAAUGACACCUCCAUUGUGUUGAUUCCUAAGGUAGACCAUCCUUCUGAUCUCAAGGAUUUUCGCCCUAUCAACUUAUGCAAUGUCAUUUAUAAAAUUGUUUCGAAGUGCCUGGUUAAUAGGCUUCGGCCUCUACUUGAUGAUCUUAUUUCACCGAAUCAAAGUGCUUUUAUUCCGGGAAGACUUAUCUCUGACAAUGCGAUCAUUGCUUUUGAGUGUGUUCACUAUAUUGAUUCCAUCCGGGGUGAUGAUGUUCCAUACCGUGCUUACAAGCUCGACCUUUCGAAGGCCUAUGACCGUGUUGAUUGGAGUUUUUUGGAGAAAUCUCUUCUGAAGUGGGGCUUUGCACCGACAUGGGUUUCUAUUGUUAUGGAAUGUGUUUCAUCAGUGAAAUAUUCUGUUAAGUUGAAUGGCAAACUUCUGGAGCAAUUCUCCCCAUCUCGGGGUUUACGUCAAGGUGAUCCAUUGUCCCCAUUCUUGUUCUUAUUUGUUGCUGAUGCUCUUUCUGCAUUGUUGAACAAGUCAAUGGCGGACCAUGCUUUGGAGCCGGUGGUUAUUUGUCGGAACGCGCCGGCAAUAUCCCACCUACUAUUUGCAGACGAUUCCCUCUUAUUUUUUCGUGCAAGUGCUGAGCAAGCUACAGUUGUGAAGGAUGUUUUGAGCAUGUAUGCGACGGCUACUGGGCAAUUGAUUAAUCCGUCGAAGUGUUCCAUUCUUUUCUCUGGGAAUUGCCCUAGCACGGUUUCACAAGAGGUAAUGGGUAUUUUGGAGAUCACUCAGGAAAUAUUUGAUCCUAAGUAUCUUGGGUUGCCAGUGCCUACGGGCAGAAUGCAUAAAGGGUGGUUUCAAACUAUUCAAGCGAGACUAAGUAAGAGGCUAGUUGACUGGAGCGAGAAAUCUAUGGCGUCCUCUAGCAAAGAGAUUCUUAUUAAAUCAGUGGCUCAGGCAAUUCCCACUUAUGUGAUGAGUGUCUUUAAACUCCCUUAUUCAGUUUGUGACGAUCUUACAAGAAUGAUGCGUCAAUACUGGUGGGGAGUUGAGAAUGGUCGAAGGAAGAUGGCAUGGGUUGCUUGGGACAAGCUUACUCUUCCAAAGCAGAAAGGAGGCCUUGGUUUUAGGGAUAUGAGGGCCUUUAAUCAAGCACUCUUGGCCAAGCAAGCAUGGCGGUUGAUUGUGAAACCAGAUAGUCUAUGUGCUCGUUUGUUGAAGGCUAGAUACUUCCCUAAUGGUAAUUUGGUUGAUACGGUAUUUUCAGGGAAUUCUUCUGCAGUUUGGGAAGGCAUUGAGCACGGUCUGCCGUUGCUG
rnacentral:rRNA from 1 species